UACGAAGGGGGCUAGCGUUGCUCGGAAUCACUGGGCGUAAAGGGUGCGUAGGCGGGUCUUUAAGUCAGGGGUGAAAUCCUGGAGCUCAACUCCAGAACUGCCUUUGAUACUGAAGAUCUUGAGUUCGGGAGAGGUGAGUGGAACUGCGAGUGUAGAGGUGAAAUUCGUAGAUAUUCGCAAGAACACCAGUGGCGAAGGCGGCUCACUGGCCCGAUACUGACGCUGAGGCACGAAAGCGUGGGGGGCGAACAGG
rnacentral:rRNA from 1 species